UUCUGGUCGUAUACAUAACUGUAUAUCAUUUGUAAACGGUUUUUAGAAUCAUACGGUUUUAUUGGCAAGAUGAAGUUUUUCCUACUUUUCGCCAUUGCGUUUCUCGCUUAUGCUCACGCCCUGCCAGCUACUGUUACUGAGUGGAAAGCCGAAUAUGGGAACAUGCCCGUAGAGAGAGUGUAUCGCUUGUAUCCCCAAGUCGUUUAUCCCUCGGGAUACAGCCUCGUGCGAAGCUACGACCCAGAAUACUUCUAUAACAUGUAUAGAUAUUACCCCGUCCAUUGAAAUAAAAUAUUGGAGUUUGUAAUAAAAGUGCUGCCAAAUUGAA
rnacentral:lncRNA from 1 species